rnacentral:lncRNA from 1 species
ACCUGGAAGGUCGGGGCUGCAGGGCUGCGGCGCGGUCAGUCCUCAGGAAAGGCUCCGGCAACUACUCCAGUGGAAAAUAACAAAAACAAAACGUGGCCUCGCGGGGGCCGCUCCUCCUCCCGCCGCAGCUGCAGCCCAGCUCGCUGCUCCUCCUCCUGCCGUUCCCGUCCCUCCCUCGCUCCUUCCUUCCUUCCUUCCAGGCUGCUUCUUUAAUCGGGCUGCUACUCCGCCUCCCGUCCGGCGGGCGGAGAGCGUCGCCUGCAAAAGCUUAUCCGUGAAGCCGCCUCUCCGCCUCUUCGCCUCUUCCUUCGACCCCCGCCCUUGGGGCUGCAGCUCAGAGCCUGGCGCGGGCACUGCCCGGACCCACUUGGCCUCUCUUGAGUCGCCGCGAUCUCCGUCUCCUCCCGGGCGUCUCUGCUGCCCCCUAGAGAGGGGGCCACUCGCAGUGGAGAACUGGGAUUUUUUUUUAACAGUAUUUGCUUGGUUUCAGUUCCUUCUAAAGCCUACACAUUAAUUUCUGAAUUAUCUUUCCUAAUAAUCUCAAAAAACGCUCGUGUUUUCAAUCACAAUAUUAUAAAUUCCAGUUCCAAAUUUCACUUUAAAACAUAAUAUCGACAGCUUGAAUCUUCCUAGUUAUUAAAGCAGCCAACUUCUUAAAAUAUGGAAAAGUUAUGUUUUAUUUAUGUUAUAUCCCCAGUUGAGAGCUAAUGUAGAGAUUUCUUGUUCUUUUAUAUAUAUGUGGUAAUACAUAUUUCCAAAGAACUAAAAAAAAGUUUGGAAUAAUUUGAUCAUUGUAAUUUUAAGACAGGUAGACAAGUAUUCUCCCUUUUUACUCAUACCGAAUGAUAAUUAAGAAUUGGGUAAGAAGUAAAGACAAAAUAAAUAAGAAAGACAC